rnacentral:rRNA from 1 species
AGGACGAACGCUGGCGGCGUGCCUAACACAUGCAAGUCGAGCGGGGACAUGCGACGGAUAGGAAGAUUCGGUUGGAAUGAAGAUGCAUUGUUCUAGCGGCGGACGGGUGAGUAACGCGUGAGCAACCUGUCCCUUACAGGGGGAUAACACAGCGAAAGUUGUACUAAUACCGCAUAAGACCACGGGAGGACAUCCUUCAGGGGUCAAAGGAGGAAUCCGGUAAGGGGUGGGCUCGCGUCCGAUUUAGAUAGUUGGUGAAGUAACGGCCCACCAAGUCGACGAUCGGUAGCCGACCUGAGAGGGUGAUCGGCCACAUUGGGACUGAGACACGGCCCAAACUCCUACGGGAGGCAGCAGUGGGGAAUAUUGGGCAAAAUGGGGGGAACCCUGACCCAGCAACGCCGCGUGAGGGAAGAAGGUUUUCGGAUCGUAAACCUCUGUCCUUGGUGAAGAGGAAGAGACGGUAGCCAAGGAGGAAGCCCCGGCUAACUACGUGCCAGCCGCGGC